GAUGAACGCUGGCGGCGUGCCUAAUACAUGCAAGUCGAGCGAACGGACGAGAAGCUUGCUUCUCUGACGUUAGCGGCGGACGGGUGAGUAACACGUGGAUAACCUACCUAUAAGACUGGGAUAACUUCGGGAAGCCGGAGCUAACACCGGAUAAUAUUUUGAACCGCAUGGUUCAAAAGUGAAAGACGGUCUUGCUGUCACUUAUAGAUGGAUCCGCGCUGCAUUAGCUAGUUGGUAAGGUAACGGCUUACCAAGGCAACUAUGCAUAGCCGACCUGAGAGGGUGAUCGGCCACACGGGAGCUGAGACGCGCACCAGAGUCCUGCGGGAGGCAGCAGAAUGGAAUGUGCGGCAGUGGGCGAGAGCCUGACGGAGCAAGGCCGCGUGAGAGAUGAAGGUCUUGGGAGCGUAAAACCCUGUUAUUAGGGAAGAACAGAUGUGGAAGGAACUGUGCACAGCGUGACGGUACCUAAUCAGAAAGCCACGGCUAACUACGUG
rnacentral:rRNA from 1 species